ACAACAGUCCUUUUCAGGACUACAGAAUGUAUUAACUAAAGAUAUUG
rfam:Anopheles culicifacies strain species A-37_1 cont1.1215, whole genome shotgun sequence.